rnacentral:sRNA from 1 species
AAAUGCUGGCGAAGUUGCUCGAUCCGUUU